UACAGAGGGGGCAAGCGUUGUUCGGAAUUACUGGGCGUAAAGGGCGCGUAGGCGGCCUUCUAAGUCGAACGUGAAAUCCCCGGGCUCAACCCGGGAACCGCGUCCGAUACUGGAAGGCUUGAAUCCGGGAGAGGGAUGCGGAAUUCCACGUGUAGCAGUGAAAUGCGUAGAGAUGUGGAGGAACACCGAUGGCGAAGGCAGCCCCCUGGGUCAAAACUGACGCUCAUGCACGAAAGCGUGGGGAGCAAACAGG
rnacentral:rRNA from 1 species